rnacentral:rRNA from 1 species
UACAGAGGUCUCAAGCGUUGUUCGGAUUCAUUGGGCGUAAAGGGUGCGUAGGUGGCGCCGUAAGUCGGGUGUGAAAUUUCGGAGCUUAACUCCGAAACUGCAUUCGAUACUGCGGUGCUUGGGGACUGGAGAGGAGACUGGAAUUCAUGGUGUAGCAGUGAAAUGCGUAAAUAUUGGGAGGAACACCAGUGGCGAAGGCGGCUCACUGGACCGGUUCUGACGCUGAGGCGCGAAAGCGUGGGGAGCAAACGGG